rnacentral:rRNA from 1 species
GUCGAGCGGUAGAGAGAAGCUUGCUUCUCUUGAGAGCGGCGGACGGGUGAGUAAUGCCUAGGAAUCUGCCUAGUAGUGGGGGAUAACGUUCGGAAACGGACGCUAAUACCGCAUACGUCCUACGGGAGAAAGCAGGGGACCUUCGGGCCUUGCGCUAUCAGAUGAGCCUAGGUCGGAUUAGCUAGUUGGUGAGGUAAUGGCUCACCAAGGCGACGAUCCGUAACUGGUCUGAGAGGAUGAUCAGUCACACUGGAACUGAGACACGGCCAGACUNNUACGGGAGGCAGCAGUGGGGAAUAUUGGACAAUGGGCGAAAGCCUGAUCCAGCCAUGCCGCGUGUGUGAAGAAGGUCUUCGGAUUGUAAAGCACUUUAAGUUGGGAGGAAGGGCAGUUACCUAAUACGUGAUUGUUUUGACGUUACCGACAGAAUAAGCACCGGCUAACUCUGUGCCAGCAGCCGCGGUAAUACAGAGGGUGCAAGCGUUUAAUCGGAAUUACUGGGGCGUAAAGCGCGCGUAGGU